AAGUCGUAACAAGGUAACCGUAGGUGAACCUGCGGUUGGAUCAUUAUCAAUGUUCUAACAGAGUCUAAUCGGAGGGCUGCGAUCACAUCAAAAGUUUUUCGGUUUUACUUUGCACCAUCUUGUGAACCUGUAAACGUUCUUUGGCGGUUAUAUUCUGGCGAAACUGUUGUAAGCCGUUGGAAUUUUGUUUGUUCAUUAGUCUUGAGUUGGAUUGUUUAACUACGAUCAGGUUUAAGACGUGGGCUUGCAUGGCCGUCAAGAGGGAAGCUCCCUGUUUCAUAAAAAGUGUACCCUUGAAACGGCACUCUUUUGGAGAUUGGUUGCUUUCCGCCUAUGAAACUAAAUGUAUUUUAUUCUUUAUUGACUUUUGGAUCCUUUAUGAGGGCGUUACUUAAUUGAAAUACAACUUUCAACAACGGAUCUCUUGGCUCUC
rnacentral:misc_RNA from 1 species